rnacentral:tRNA from 1 species
GCGAGCGUGGCGGAACCGGCAGACGCGCCGGGUUUAGGUCCCGGUGGCCUUCGGGUCUUGGGGGUUCGACUCCCCCGCUCGCA